GACGUAGGGCGCGAGCGUUGUUCGGAUUUACUGGGCGUAAAGCGCACGUAGGCGGAUCGUUAAGUCGGGGGUGAAAUCCUGGAGCUCAACUCCAGAACUGCCUUCGAUACUGGCGAUCUUGAGUCCGGAAGAGGUGAGUGGAACUCCUAGUGUAGAGGUGGAAUUCGUAGAUAUUAGGAAGAACACCAGUGGCGAAGGCGGCUCACUGGUCCGGUACUGACGCUGAGGUGCGAAAGCGUGGGGAGCAAACAGG
rnacentral:rRNA from 1 species